rnacentral:rRNA from 1 species
AGUGAACGCUGGCGGUAGGCCUAACACAUGCAAGUCGAACGGCAGCACAGUAAGAGCUUGCUCUUACGGGUGGCGAGUGGCGGACGGGUGAGGAAUACAUCGGAAUCUACUUUUUCGUGGGGGAUAACGUAGGGAAACUUACGCUAAUACCGCAUACGACCUACGGGUGAAAGCAGGGGAUCUUCGGACCUUGCGCGAUUGAAUGAGCCGAUGUCGGAUUAGCUAGUUGGCGGGGUAAAGGCCCACCAAGGCGACGAUCCGUAGCUGGUCUGAGAGGAUGAACGGCCACACGGGAAUGAGGGAACGGCCCAAACUCCUACGGGAGGGAGAGGGGGGGAAAAUUGGACAAAGGGCGCAGGCCGGAGACAGCCAAACCGCGGGGGGGAAGAAGGCCUUCGGGUUGUAAAACCCUUUUGUGGGGAAAAAAAAACAGGAGGUUAAUACCCCGCUGUUCUGAGGGUACCCAAAAAAGAAACAACGGAAAACUUGGG